AGUGAACGCUGGCGGUAGGCCUAACACAUGCAAGUCGAACGGCAGCACAGAGGAGCUUGCUCCUUGGGUGGCGAGUGGCGGACGGGUGAGGAAUACAUCGGAAUCUACUCUGUCGUGGGGGAUAACGUAGGGAAACUUACGCUAAUACUGCAUACGACCUACGGGUGAAAGCAGGGGAUCUUCGGACCUUGCGCGAUUGAAUGAGCCGAGGUCGGAUUAGCUAGUUGGCGGGGUAAAGGCCCACCAAGGCGACGAUCCGUAGCUGGUCUGAGAGGAUGAUCAGCCACACUGGAACUGAGACACGGUCCAGACUCCUACGGGAGGCAGCAGUGGGGAAUAUUGGACAAUGGGCGCAAGCCUGAUCCAGCCAUACCGCGUGGGUGAAGAAGGCCUUCGGGUUGUAAAGCCCUUUUGUUGGGAAAGAAAUCCAUCUGGUUAAUACCCGGAUGGGAUGACGGUACCCAAAGAAUAAGCACCGGCUAACUUCGUGCCAGCCGCCGCGGUAA
rnacentral:rRNA from 1 species